rnacentral:rRNA from 1 species
CAAUAGCGUAUAUUUAAGUUGUUGCAGUUAAAAAGCUCGUAGUUGGAUUUCGGUUAAGAGCGACCGGUCCGCCGUUUGGUGUGCACUGGUUGGUUUUAACUUCCUGUAGAGGACGUGCUCUGGGUUUAACGACCUGGACUCGGAGUCUACGUGGUUACUUUGAAAAAAUUAGAGUGUUCAAAGCGGGCUUACGCUUGAAUAUUUCAGCAUGGAAUAACACUAUAGGACUCCUGUCCUAUUUCGUUGGUCUCGGGACGGGAGUAAUGAUUAAGAGGGACAGUCGGGGGCAUUCGUAUUUCAUUGUCAGAGGUGAAAUUCUUGGAUUUAUGAAAGACGAACUACUGCGAAAGCAUUUGCCAAGGAUGUUUUCAUUAA